rnacentral:rRNA from 1 species
UGGGGGAUAUUGCACAAUGGGCGAAAGCCUGAUGCAGCGACGCCGCGUGGGGGAUGAAGGCUUUCGGGUUGUAAACCUCUUUCGCUAUCGAACAAGGCCCGCUUAGGGUGGGUUGAGGGUAGGCGGAGAAGAAGCGCCGGCUAACUACGUGCCAGCAGCCGCGGUAAUACGUAGGGCGCGAGCGUUGUCCGGAAUUAUUGGGCGUAAAGGGCUUGUAGGCGGCUUGUUGCGCCUGCUGUGAAAACGCGGGGCUUAACUUCGCGCGUGGAGUGGGUACGGGCAGGCUUGAGUGUGGUAGGGGUGACUGGAAUUCCAGGUGUAGCGGUGGAAUGCGCAGAUAUCUGGAGGAACACCGAUGGCGAAGGCAGGUCACUGGGCCAUUACUGACGCUGAGGAGCGAAAGCAUGGGUAGCGAACAGG